CCGAAUAACUGGUAUUGCCAAAGGCCUGAUUUAAUGGUGCUUUUAUAGUUUGUCAACUACCAUUGGCAAUAUUGAAUUAAGGCGUGUUUGUAAGAAGGCAUUAUGUUGAUAACUUCGAUGACAGUCUGUGAAAAUGCACUGCCCACAGAUAAUUUUCGUGCGCGUGAUACUGCUAAACCAAUUGUUCUUGUAUGUCUUUAAAAAAAUAGAUGCUUUCUUUUAUUUCAGAUAUCAACCGAUGCAGCACUUGUACUGUUCAGGUAAAGGCACUUCAAGAAGAAAAUCGGGAAUUAAAAGAUGAAGUGGAACAUAUGAAGCGGAUGGCAAAAAAACACGAUUACAUUUAUGGUGGACAUUGGGGCCGGUGUGAGUGUUGAACAAGGCACCCUAGAGAAUCUAUGCUGAGCAUGCGAAAGUGGCCUUGGCAAAUUUGCCAGGGCUCCUUUGUGGAACGUAUUCACCCCUGAGGAGCUACGGGACGAACCGCUCCUGGGUGAGAAGAGCAACUAGCACUUAAACCAGCCAUUCAAGGAGGCCUUGGACCCUAUUCGUAUCCGAGCUGUGAUUGACUACACAUGCUCCAAGUUUCCCUCUGCCAGCCUCUCCUACAUAAAGAACAUCAUCUCCUCAGUACUGGCAAGAGAAAUGAAAGAGCCUGAAGCUCAAUAAAUUUGUGGGCUAUUGUAUAAAAGGAAUGAUUCACAUGCUUUUUGUUAA